GAUGAACGCUGGCGGCGUGCUUAACACAUGCAAGUCGAACGGAAAGGCCCUGCUUUUGUGGGGUGCUCGAGUGGCGCACGGGUGAGUAAAACGUGAGUAACCUGCACUUGUCUUUGGGGUAAAUUCAGGAAAAUGGGGCUACUAUAGGAUAGGAGAUCCUGAUGCGUGGUGGGGGUUGGAGAGUUUCGGCGGUUGGGGAUGUAUUCGCGGCUUAUCAGCUUGUUGGUGGGGUAGUGGCGUACCAAGGCUUAGACGGGUCGCCGGCCUGGGAGCUUGACCAGCGACAAUGCUACUACGGGACGGCCCAGACUCCUACAUGAGGCAACAGUCGGAAAUAUUGCACAAUGAGCCCACGCCUGAGACGACGGCGCCGCGUUCGUAAAGACCUCCUUCGGGUUAUAAACCGCUGUCGCCUUUGACGAAGCGUUAUUGACGGUACCGAGUAAAGAAGCACCGGCUAACUACGUG
rnacentral:rRNA from 1 species